GCCGAAAUAAACUGGCCCAACUGCAACAACUUGGGUAAUCCACAAGCCCACCACAGGCCCCCAAAAGAUCAUGAUUUGUUGGUGUAAUUGGUAGUAGUACUUAUGCUUAUAAACUGAACAAAUAUUCCCACUCUUCUCGAUGUGGGACUGGGGUGUUACAAACUCCCCCACUUAAAUUCCUGACGUCCUCGUCAGGCCGAAACGGAUAGCCCAUAUGCCCAGAUCGAACCUCUCUAGCCAUUGUGGGAUAAUACCGGCUGGCUGCGUGUCCCCGCCUCCGGAUCUCUGUCCAUUGCGAGAUAAUACCACCAGCCUUCGUGUCCCCACCUCCAGCAACUUGACGAAUCAAGCUUUCAAGAGCCUGCUCUGAAUAUCAUAUGAAACAACCCGGG
rnacentral:lncRNA from 1 species